GUUUACUUUCUGGAGCUUAGCAACAUAAAUUUGUUGUCGCCGAAUUAUUAAACACAGCGGACACAUGCUGGCUGAAUUCGAAGCAAAGGUCCACGAAACUGAUCAUAGGAUAGCCCAUGUAAUAAUAAGAGAAAUGGGCCCGCUGUUGGACUUUAAUAUCCCCCGACGACACUCAGCUGUCAAUGGCCUCCACCAUCGCCAGGAUGCAUGGCGGCUUCUGCCAGAAACACUGGAUUUAUCCUCCUUCACAUGGAGCCGGUGAAAGGAAAUGCCUACAGUCGGUGGGAAUCCAUAAAGGAGGGACGGGAGAGAGAAAAAAAGAAGAUUAAGGCAACGAGAACGAGUGGAAACGGAAAAAGUCGUGGGAGGAAGGCAUGGGAUGAGAUACAGGCGAGCUACAGCAAACCCUACAGAUGACCUCUUUUCUCAUUAAGAGCCCGAGCCUCACCAUUUAUCUUCCCCAUCAGAGCUGCUUCACACGGACCGCACCGACAGACACUGCUUCGUAAUUAUGCCAAAUAUAAAUUUACAAUGAAUAAUGAAUACAGCUGCAUUAACGCUGUCCUUACUGCUGUGAAUCACACCUGCUGAAGACAAGCUGCUUUCAGAGAGACGUUUCUUUCACGGCAUCCCUCAGAAGUCUGUAUUUACAGCAGCGGCUCUCAACUGGUGGGUCACGACCUCAAAUGAGGCUAAAACCAAAACAUGCAAUCGUGCAUAUGUAGGACAACGAAGUAACGUUUCUUUUGUUAUGUCCAUGGCAUGUGUUUAUAUUCAGUGAUAGUGUUGCCGAAACUCCUCUGCUAUUAGGGCCCAGAGGCUGUGGUAGACCCCGCUCCUCACAGGUUCAGGAGUUCACAGCGGGGUCUGCAGGAAGAGGAAGCGGCCGUCUGCCGGUCCUGGCUCUAAUUGCACAUCGUAAUGCUAUGCAGAAGCACGCUGACUCGAGAUGUACAGGAAGCACGUGAACUCUCAAACAAACAAUUAGCAGGGUUUGGCAUCCAUGCUAAAUAUGCGCCGAAUAUAAUUCACAGAAACGUCCGAAACACAUCCGGGUCACGUAAAGCUGUCCUAGUGAGUGAUCUACAUAUAGCAUCCCCUCGGGGUCGACAGAACCCGGUCGGAAAAGCCCCGGUUUAGAUCAUAUGGAGCCGUACAGUUACUCAUGUGCAGACGAGAGCAAAAACGCCGACAGAACUCUUGCUGGAAGGAAGAAGACGAAGACAAUGUGAGCAGAUCAUCUGUGAUCCAGGGCAAGAACGAACCACAUACAGCAACUACAAUAACCAGCUAGUUGAGCUGUGUGAAAAUGUCACCUGUGCUCUCCCUCUUUCCCUAUUUUCCCGGGCAGAGACGAUGCGGCCUUCCUCGGCAUCCCUGCAGGAAAAUGCCCUUUAGAAUAAACGCAUCCUUUACGCUGCUAUUUGAAGCUCGCUUUCCUGAGAGAUUCCUUUCCAGCGCAAUUCUCCAGAAAUGUAGCUCCUUCACCCCGGUAAAUAGCACUACACUCGAGCUCUCUGGCAGCAGUCCAUGUUUAUUAGAAAUUUUGACUUUUGGGGUGUUUUCUCUGCCUUUAACCCCCCCUUUUUGAAAAGCAGGCCUUGUUUUGAAAAUCAACAAACAGAAACCUGGCAAUGUGUGCCUCAUUUUAUCAAAUGGUACACAGCUUGGUAAUGGUCUCCCCUGACGAUUCCAGCUAAUCUAUGCUGAUGACCACAGGGACGCAGAUGAUUGUCAUGUUAGUAGAAAAAAAAAAAAUCAGAACAAUCAUGUUGCGUCAGUUCUACCAUUAAAAGACUUGCUUCUCUGCAAAUUUCUGCACGCAGUAAUUAAUACUCUGGGGCUUGCCUUCACCAGACUGGUACUCCAGGCAACGAGAUGCCACUCACCUGAUAAUUAUUUUAGGAAACCAUGCACAACUGAAUGUGAUUGACAAAUGCAACAUUGCUGUAAUUGCCUGAAGCGUACAGCGAGGAGAGAGAGAGAGAGAGAGAGAGAGAGAGAGAGAGAGAGAGAGAACAAGGAGUUAAUGCUGCACUGUCAAAUGAAAGGGAAACUAAAGAGGAAGUCCUACAGAGAUCUUGUCAUUCUCUGCAACAAAGGUGGACACUUACAGGUGUAGGGUCAGACGUAUUUGCCGAGUGCCAUUUCUGAUCGCAUCGGGCUCUGAGAGCAGAGGUGUGUGGGAACCGGCGUUAGGAAUUACUUUGAAACUGCAGGCUGCCGAGCUACAAGGUGCUCUAUAUUAUUUGAAGUAGUUCAACGGCAGUCAAGCUACUGCUUUGAAAAAGUAGGCUGCGCUACAAGUUUGUAAUAGAAAGUAGCUGUUAAGGGGCUAAUAUGUUUUGUAACCUUCU